AUUGAACGCUGGCGGCAUGCCUUACACAUGCAAGUCGAACGGCGGCACGGGGCAACCUGGUGGCGAGUGGCGAACGGGUGAGUAAUGCAUCGGAACGUACCUUUCAGUGGGGGAUAACGUAGCGAAAGUUACGCUAAUACCGCAUAUUCUGUGAGCAGGAAAGCAGGGGAUCGCAAGACCUUGCGCUGAUUGAGCGGCCGAUGUCAGAUUAGCUAGUUGGUGAGGUAAAGGCUCACCAAGGCGACGAUCUGUAGCGGGUCUGAGAGGAUGAUCCGCCACACUGGAACUGAGACACGGUCCAGACUCCUACGGGAGGCAGCAGUGGGGAAUUUUGGACAAUGGGGGCAACCCUGAUCCAGCCAUGCCGCGUGAGUGAAGAAGGCCUUCGGGUUGUAAAGCUCUUUCGGCCGGGAAGAAAUCGCACGGGCUAAUACCCUGUGUGGAUGACGGUACCGGAAUAAGAAGCACCGGCUAACUACGUGCCAGCAGCCGCAGUAAUAC
rnacentral:rRNA from 1 species